AGAUACAAACGCAACCGUUUACCUGUCACGCUAGCAUUUUUUAAGAAACAUUUUUGGUAAGCAAUGUGUAAAUGCUCAAAAGGAUAAACAAAAGACAUUUCCAAGGCAAAGAACUGUAUUGACUGCCAUCUCACUUUCCAUCAUUAAGGACUGUAACUACGAAUAUAAAUUUCUGGAAGUCAAUUAGCGAGCAGUGGCAAGACCUAACGAGAAAAACUAUACUGAAAGUCAAAGAUGAAGAAUAUCGUUGCCUCGUUGGUCAUCAUCCUGUGUUUAACUGUUGACAAAUCAAUUCAGGUGUGUAAGCCAACAGAUGUAAUAAUAAAGUUUCCGACAAAAGGAUGUGGACUACAGUCAGUCACCACGAAGGGAUGCAAAGGGCGCUGUCCAUCCGAAACAUUGCCGCGCAUAAGAGGAACUAACUUGAAGAAAACAUGCACCUGUUGCACACCAACCAAAUAUAAGCUAAAAUUAAACACAGUGGUCCUGUGCAACUCACCCAGGCAUGAAGUUACACUGCAGGCUGUGAAAAAGUGUGCUUGUCGUCCUUGCUCGUCGACCUGAGGAUUGGCACAACUACAUGAAGAUUGUUUAAUCUAAAAACAAUCACAAUUAAAAAACUAUUUGAAUGUAACCCAAAGGAGUCACGCAAAACGAGCGAACAAUGUGAUUUGAAUAGGACGGAUUUUAGUGCGUAUGGCGCCAGUAAAAUGCCAGGCAAAUUUGACAGGAUUCCAUUCCAAUUGACAUUUGCAAUAACCACAGUGUCCAGAACAUAUAUAAUUGUAAAUAAUUCCAGGCAUCCAUAUCGAACGUAGAUUAGAAUACGUUGUGUACGAAUUCCCUGUCUACUGUAUAAUUCAUGUAUAAAAUGAGAGAAUUUAGAACACGGAGAGAUACUUAACUAUGUAUUAACUUGUUUGGCUAUAUAGAAAUAUAUUUCUAUUGAAUAU